CCUACGGGGGGCAGCAGUGGGGAAUAUUGGGCAAUGGAGGCAACUCUUACCCAGCAAUGCCGCGUGAAUGAAGAAGGUCUUCGGAUUGUAAAGUUCUUUAAUUGGGGACGAAAAAAAUGACGGUACCCAAGGAAUAAGCUCCGGCUAACUACGUGCCAGGAGCCGCGGGAAUACGUAGGGGCCAAGCGGUGUUCGGAAUGACUGGGCGUAAAGGUUGUGUAGGCGGGGUAGCAAGUUAGAAGGGAAAUACCUAGAGCUUAACUCAGGUGCUGCUUCUAAAACUGCUAUACUUGAGUGCAGUAGAGGAAAGUGGAAUUCCUGGUGUAGCGGUGGAAUGCGUAGAUAUAAGGAGGAACAUCAGUGGCGAAGGCGACUUUCUGGACUAUAACUGACGCUGAGGCACGAAAGUGUGGGGAGCAAACAGGAUUAGAUACCCGGAUAGUC
rnacentral:rRNA from 1 species